CGGAAUCGCCACCGUCAACAUUUCUUCUUCUCUGCCUCUCGUCGGAGCUCGCCGGUGGUUCGUCGGCCUCUACCUCUUCGAGUUCGAGUCUUCCGUCUUCACUUUGAUUCGAGACUCUGUCUCUCUGCCUCGACCUCCAUUCGCGACUUUGUCUUCUCUCUUUUCGGUUCUCUUCUUCUUUUGUUGGUGGCUCGUCGGAGCUCAUGCUCAUCAAUUGAGAUUUUAAAAUCUCUCAGUAUUGAACAUUUGAACUCUCCAUUUCAAUGGAUCCUGCUAAUGAGGUAGCCGAUC